rnacentral:rRNA from 1 species
AGAGUUUGAUCAUGGCUCAGGAUGAACGCUGGCGGCAUGCCUAAGACAUGCAAGUCGAACGAGAUGGCCCAGUGAAGGUUGAGUGCUUGCACAAGACUGAAUCUGGAUUCCCAUCUAGUGGCAGACGGGUGAGUAACACGUGGGUGACCUACCUUUUCGUUGGGGGUAACAGUUGGAAACGAUUGCUAAUACCGAAUAAAAUGUAAGAGUCAAUUUUACAUUGAAAGGAGCCUUUAAAAGCUUCGCGA